AGAGUUUGAUCCUGGCUCAGAACGAACGCUGGCGGCGUGGCUAAGGCAUGCAAGUCGAACGGAGUAGUUGGAUCGCAAGUGAAGGCUACUUAGUGGCGGACGGGUGAGAAGAAGAUAGGUAACGUACCCUGGACUCAGGGAUAGCGGCGUCCCGCAAGGGACUUUAGCGAAAGUGCCGGUAAUACCUGAUAACACCACUGAACCGCAUGGUUUGGUGAUCAAAGUUCCGGUGGUCUGGGAUCGGCCUAUCCCCCAUCAGCUAGUUGGUGAGGUAACGGCCCACCAAGGCAAAGACGGGUACCAGGCGUGAGAGCGUGGUCUGGCACAUCGGGACUGAGACACUGCCCGGACAUCUACGGAUGGCUGCAGCAACGAAUAUUCCGCAAUGGGCGAAAGCCUGACGGAGCGACGCCGCGUGCUGGAUGAAGCCCCUCGGGGUGUAAACAGCUGUCAGGGGUACGGAAGCAAGUGACCAACCCCAAAGGAAGCCUCGGCUAACUCUGUGCCAGCAGCCGCGGUAAUACAGAGGAGGCAAGCGUUGUUCGGAAUCACUGGGCUUAAAGGGUGUGUAGGCGGGAUGGAAGGUGCUUAGUGAAAGCCCCCGGCUUAACCGGGGAACUGCUGGGCAAACCGCCAUUCUUGAGGCCAGAAGGGGUGCCCGGAACUUUGGGUGGAGCGGUGAAAUGCGUUGAUAUCCAAGGGAACGCCGAUGGCGAAAGCGGGGCACUGGGCUGGUUCUGACGCUGAGACACGAAAGCGUGGGUAGCAAACAGGAUUAGAUACCCUGGUAGUCCACGCUGUAAACGAUGCGCACUAGGUAUCAGCGACUCUGACGUUGUUGGUGCCGUCGCGAAAGCAAUAAGUGCGCCGCCUGGGGAGUACGGCCGCAAGGCUAAAACUCAAAGGAAUUGACGG
rnacentral:rRNA from 1 species